GGAUGGUCUCAUACUUAUAGUAAUAACCAAUGGAGGCGUUCUGUUCAAAGAAUUGAUGGCGCUGAUCGAGGGAAUCGUUACUCUUUGGGAUCAGACGAUCAUUAUAUUUUUGUGGAAACGUACGGUGGAAGUGUAUACGGAUACCUGGAGAGCCAAAUGAUACCAUCUACAUGGAGUGAUUUUUGUCUUCAAUUUUACUUGCAUAUGAGCGGAUCAGAUAAUGAACUGUACAUUUAUCAUUAUAACAGUUAUAAUUCGUAUUGUGUGUUGAAUGCCCACGAUGAAUACAGCAGCCAAUGGAAACAUGUUAGUGUUACUUUUGCUAACUUUGCCAACUCUUACAUAAGGAUCAAAGGAAUAGCCUAUGGUUACUACUCUAGAGAAAUGGUAGCUGUUGAUGAUAUAUAUAUCAGUGAAGGUACAUGCUUGGACUAUCAAGAAAGUCCUUAUCAAACAACGGACACAUUUUUGUGUGGUAACGGGUCACAGGUCAUC